UACGGGGGGGGCAAGCGUUGUUCGGAAUUACUGGGCGUAAAGGGCGCGUAGGCGGUCUUUUAAGUCCUGUGUGAAAUCCCUCGGCUCAACUGAGGAACUGCACGGGAUACUGGAAGACUUGAGUUCGGGAGAGGGAAGCGGAAUUCCGGGUGUAGCGGUGGAAUGCGUAGAGAUCCGGAAGAACACCGGAGGCGAAGGCGGCUUGCUGGGCGUAGUCUGACGCUGAGGCGCGAAAGCGUGGGGAGCGAACAGG
rnacentral:rRNA from 1 species